CGAGUCGGCCGGACGGUCGCGUCGGGGCAGGCCCCCGCCGAGGAAAGUCCGGGCUCCACAGGACACGGUGGUGGCUAACGGCCACCCGGGGUGACCCGCGGGACAGUGCCACAGAAAACAAACCGCCCAUUCGGGUAAGGGUGAAAAGGCGGGGUAAGAGCCCACCGCACCCCAGGUGACUGGGGUGGCACGGUAAACCCCACCGGGAGCAAGACCAAGCAGCGUCCAGGGUUGUCCGCCCGACGGGCGCGGGUAGGUUGCUACAGGCCUCCAGCAAUGGCGGUCGUAGAGGGAUGACCGUCCACCGCGCACGCGGUGACAGAACCCGGCUUACAGGCCGACUCGUUCC
rnacentral:RNase_P_RNA from 2 species